rnacentral:rRNA from 1 species
UACGGAGGGUGCAAGCGUUAUCCGGAUUCACUGGGUUUAAAGGGUGCGUAGGCGGACACUUAAGUCCGUGGUGAAAUCUCUGGGCUUAACCCAGAAACUGCCAUGGAUACUAUUUGUCUUGAAUGUUGUGGAGGUUAGCGGAAUAUGUCAUGUAGCGGUGAAAUGCAUAGAUAUGACAUAGAACACCAAUUGCGAAGGCAGCUUACUACACAAUGAUUGACGCUGAGGCACGAAAGCGUGGGGAUCAAACAGG